CGAAGAUGGACCUAGAGGCCCAGGACAUUGUGACGAACCAUCUCAAUGCUACAGACCUCUGAAACAGAAGAUAGAGAGUAGGAGAGAGAGAGUAGGAGAGAGAGAGUAGGAGAGAGAGAAGAAGAUGAAGAAGGAGUGAAGGAGAAAGGAGUGAGAGAUGGAGAGAGAGAAAGAAAUAGAACAUAAGAGGGUAGGGAAGAGAAGAGACUGAAGAGAGAAAAUCACUGAGAUGGGAGAAAGGAAGGCUAGAGAGAAUAAUUGCAUCUGUGAAUGAACACAUAAGAUGAGGGUGAGCGAGAGACAGAGAUAGAGAGAUUAAACCACUGCUUCCGGAACACAUAAAUAAAGAGAAAAUGUCAGAGAUGGGAUGAAGCAAAAAAAACAACAAAGAUGACAGAGAGAAAAAAAACAAUGGAAAAGGAGUUUAAAUUCUAACCAGUUUAGUUUGUUCCUAAGUGGGGAACAGCAAUGGGCUGGGACUGGCUGGCUGACUGGGACUGGCUGGGACUGGCUGGGACUGGCUGACUGGCUGGCUGGCUGACUGGCUGGGACUGGCUGGGACUGGCUGGGACUGGCUGGCUGACUGGGACUGGCUGGGACUGGCUGGGACUGGCUGACUGGCUGGCUGACUGGAUGGCUGGCUGGGACUGGCUGGCUGGCUGGGAAUGGCUGGGACUGGCUGGGACUGGCUGGGACUGGCUGACUGGCUGGCUGGCUGGGACUGGCUGGGACUGGGCUGACUGGCUGGCUGGCUGGGACUGGCUGGCUGACUGGCUGGCUGGCUGGGACUGGCUGGCUGUCUGGGACUGGCUGGGACUGGCUGACUGGCUGGCUGACUGGCUGGCUGGCUGGGACUGGCUGGCUGGCUGGGACUGGCUGGCUGGGACUGGCUGGCUGGCUGGCUGUGCACAGGUGAUGAUGACCUAAAUUUAGUCCCAAAUGCCAGAAUGUUUUUGGGUCGCAGCUUUAGAGUUGUUUGAAAAGUUUGUUGUGUCCCAAAUGGCACCUUAUUCUCUAUCAGGUCCCUGGUCAAGAGUAGUGCACUAUAUAGAGGAAUGGGGUGCCGUUUGCCUGUGUGUGUCUCCGUGUGUGUGUGUGUGUCUCUGUGUGUGUAUCCAUGUGUCUGUGUGUGUGUGUCUCCGUGUGUGUAUCCAUGUGUCUGUGUGUGUGUGUGUGUGUGUGUGUGUGUGUGUGUGUGUGUGUGUGUGUGUGUGUGUGUGUGUGUGUGUGUGUGUGUGUGUGUGUGUGUGUGUGUGUAUCCAUGUGUCUGUGUGUGUGUGUCUCCAUGUGUGUGUGUCUCCGUGUGCGUGUGUGUGUGUGUGUGCGUGUGUGUGUGUGUGUGUGUAUCCAUGUGUGUGUGUGUGUGUGUGUGUGUGUGUGUGUGUGUGUGUGUGUGUGUGUGUGUGUGUGUGUGUGUGUGUGUGUGUGUGUGUGUGUGUGUGUGUGUGUGUGUGUGUUUCGGCUGUCCCUCGAUGUCUUGGCAUUUCUAUAAGUCAAUGGGUGAGAUGGUGAAAAUGUGAAAGGUGAAGUGAUGAGUCACAACGAUAGAGAGUUCAGGAAAAAGAAUGUGAGACACUGGUGACAUUAGGAAAGCAUGACAAACCAUAGCAUGUUGGGGAAACUGUGGCGUGACAUGGGCGCCAUUUUGAGCCAAGAUGGAUGAAAUGGUGGCAAAUCAUGAUGUAACGUUGAUGGGACCGACUGAAAUCCUUUAUAAUGCAUGAAUACAUAAUGGAUACAUAAUGGAUACAUAAUGGAUACAUAAUGGAUACAUAAUGGAUACAUAAUGGAUACAUAAUGGAUACAUAAUGG
ensembl:lncRNA